rnacentral:lncRNA from 1 species
CCCAAAUUUCACCCCAAAUUCCAAAUCCUUCACCCCAAAAUUCAUCCCAAAAUCCAAAUCAUUCACCCCAAAUUCCAGAUCCGUCACCCCAAACUCAAAAUCCUGCAUCCCAAAGCCCAAAUCCUUCACCCCAAAAUUCACCCCAAAAUUCAUCCUGAAUUCCAAAUCCUUCAUCCCAAAAUUCACCCCAAAAUCCAAAUCCUUCACCCCAAAUUCCAAAUCCUUCAUCCCAAAAUUCAUCCCAAAGCCCAAAACCUUCACCGCAAAAUUCAUCCGAAAUCCCAAACCCUUCACCCCAAAAUCCAAACCCUUCACCCCAAAAUUCAUCCCAAAAUCCAAAUCCUUCACCCCAAAAUCCUUCACCCCAAAAUCCAAACCCUUCAAUCCAAAAUCCAAAACCUUUGCCCCAAAAUUCAUCCAAAAAUUCAAAUCCUUCACCCCAAAAUUCAUCCCAAAAUCCAAACUCUUCACCCCAAAAUCCAAAUUCUUCAUCCCAAACUUCCCAAAUACUUCAUCCCAAAAUCCAAAUCCUUCCCCCCAAAAUUCAUCCAAAAAUUCAAAUCCUUCACCCCAAAUUCCAAAUCCUUCACCCCAAAAUUCAUCCCAAAAUCCAAACCCUUCACCCCAAAAUCCAAACCCUUCACCCCAAAAUUCCAAAUCCUUCACCCCAAAAUUCACCCCAAAAUCCAAACCCUUCACCCCAAAUUCCAAAUCCCAAAAUCCAAACCCUUCACCCCAAAAUUCCACCACACCCAUCCCAUUUUUUCCCUUUAUUUUGGUGCUUCCCCACCCGGUUUUUAUAUUUUUUCCCCCACCCCGAUGUUUUGUGUUUUAUUUUAUAUUUUGUGUUUUAUUUUAUAUUUUUUAUCCCACUCCAAUGUUUUGUGUUUUAUUUUAUAUUUUGUGUUUUAUUUUUUGUUUUGUGUUUUAUUUUAUAUUUUUCACCCCACCCUGACAUUUUCUGUUUUAUGUUUUGUGUUUUAUUUUAUAUUUUUCCCCACCCUGACGUUUUGUGUUUUAUUUUAUAUUUUGUGUUUUAUUUUAUAUUUUGCAUUUUAUUUUAUAUUUUUUCCCCACCCUGACAUUUUGUGUUUUAUUUUAUGUUUUGUGUUUUAUUUUAUUUUUUUUCCCCCCACCCUGACAUUUUGUGUUUUAUUUUAUAUUUUGUGGUUUAUUUUAUAUUUUGUGUUUUAUUUUAUAUUUUUCCCCCAACCCUGACAUUUUCUGUUUUAUUUUAGG